UACGUAGGGUGCGAGCGUUGUCCGGAAUUAUUGGGCGUAAAGCGCACGUAGGCGGCAUUGCAAGUCGGAUGUGAAAUCCCUCGGCUUAACCAAGGAAGUGCAUCCGAAACUGCAGUGCUUGAGUACUUAAGAGGAUCGCGGAAUUCCCGGUGUAGAGGUGAAAUUCGUAGAUAUCGGGAGGAACACCAGUGGCGAAGGCGGCGAUCUGGGAAGAUACUGACGCUGAGGUGCGAAAGCGUGGGGAGCAAACAGG
rnacentral:rRNA from 1 species